AGGGUACGCUCUUAUACCCUUUGUGACAUACCCCAAACGUUGCCUCGGCGGGCAGCCGGAGCCCAGCUCCGGCGCCCGGAGCCGCCGUCUCGGCGCGCCCCACCCGCCGGCGGACCACUAAACUCUAUUUAAACGACGUCUCUUCUGAGUGGCACAAGCAAAUAAUCAAAACUUUUAACAACGGAUCUCUUGGUUCUGGCAUCGAUGAAGAACGCAGCGAAAUGCGAUAAGUAAUGUGAAUUGCAGAAUUCAGUGAAUCAUCGAAUCUUUGAACGCACAUUGCGCCCGCCAGCAUUCUGGCGGGCAUGCCUGUUCGAGCGUCAUUUCAACCCUCAAGCACCGCUUGGCGUUGGGGCCCUACGGCUUCCGUAGGCCCCGAAAUACAGUGGCGGACCCUCCCGGAGCCUCCUUUGCGUAGUAACAUACCACCUCGCACUGGGAUCCGGAGGGACUCCUGCCGUAAAACCCCCCAAUUUUCCAAAGGUUGACCUCGGAUCAGGUAGGAAUACCCGCUGAACUUAAGCAUAUCAAUAACCGAGAGGAAUUUAUCGAGAUGACGCUCCUUAUAACCCUUUGUGAACAUACCCCAAACGUUGCCUCGGCGGGCAGCCGGAGCCCAGCUCCGGCGCCGAAGCCCCUUCCGGCGCCCCGCCGGCGGACACUAAACUCUAUUUAAACGACGUCUCUUCUGAGUGGCAAAGCAAAUAAUCAAAACUUUUAACAACGGAUCUCUUGGUUCUGGCAUCGAUGAAGAACGCAGCGAAAUGCGAUAAGUAAUGUGAAUUGCAGAAUUCGUGAAAUCAUCGAAUCUUUGACGCACAUUGCGCCGCAGCAUUCUGGCGGCAUGCUGUUUCGAGCGUCUUUUCACUCCAGCACCGCUUGGCGUUGGGGCCUACGGCUUCCGUAGCCGAAAUAAAGGGGCGACCUCCGGACCUCUUGGAAGGACAAACACUC
rnacentral:rRNA from 1 species